rnacentral:rRNA from 1 species
CGGCGGACGGGUGAGUAAUGCCUAUGAAUCUGCCUGGUAGUGGGGGAUAACGUUCGGAAACGGACGCUAAUACCGCAUACGUCCUACGGUUAGAAAGCAGGGGACCUUCGGGCCUUGCGCUAUCAGAUGAGCCUAGGUCGGAUUAGCUAGUUGGUGGGGUAAUGGCUCACCAAGGCGACGAUCCGUAACUGGUCUGAGAGGAUGAUCUGUCACACUGGAACUGAGACACGGUCCAGACUCCUACGGGAGGCAGCAGUGGGGAAUAUUGGACAAUGGGCGAAAGCCUGAUCCAGCCAUGCCGCGUGUGUGAAGAAGGUCUUCGGAUUGUAAAGCACUUUAAUUUGGGAGGAAGGGUUGUAGAUUAAUACUCUGC